AGCAGAGUCUGAACCUCUGCAGAAAAAUUUUGGGAAGUUAGGAAGCCCCUAAUUUAGAUCAGAACACUAAUACCAUUUUUAAAAAGGCAUCCUGGGUGACUAUCCAUUUUUGUUUUUCUGCCUACAUCAGCAGGGUUGAAGGGGUGAUCUGUGUGUACAUAAUUAAAAAAAAUAAAUCUAAGCCAUCUUUCCUGAUGAUCCUUCAAUAAAAGAUCUACCUACUUGAACUACAUUGACAUAUUAUUAUGAUGUCAAACAAUAACAGGAUGCACAUUGGUAACUGAACCUAUUAUUGGGAGACUGAAUCUUUAUAAUUUUCAAGCCACUGAGGAAGACCACUUUAGGGUUGAAACACGUCUGGCUUCAGUCUAAGAACACAUGGAUGAUCUUCUGCACAAGUGAUAUACUGCUAGUUUUUUUGACCAGUACUAGGACUUUCUCAUAUGAAGACUGCCAUUUAUUCUUUUGUUUCUCUUGGAAAGAUUUGAUCACAUUUCCAAUAUGGACAAUUACAUUUUAUUAAUAAUGAAUUGGUCUUUGUAAUGAGGAUAGAUACCUUUUACAAUUGUCUCAUAUAUGAGAGCAGCUGUUUUCAAUUCUAUAGAUGAUUUGGACAGUUAUAUGCCUAUAUCAUAAUUGGAGAAACAUUUGUGAUUUUUGUUGUUAAAUUUUUUAGAGGAUUGAUGCUACGGUAUUUAUUGGACCUUUCUGGAUUCUCACUAUCUUCUUAUUAUGUUAUGUUGAGUUUAAUUUACUCUUUGGGAGAAAGUAAGCAUUGUAUACUGGGAUUUAAUGUAUUCUCCAAGUCCUAUAUGUGUCCAGAGUCUCACUUGUAUGAAGCAGCUUGAAGACUUCCGAUAAUGCCAUGUAGAUACAGAAAAUAAUACCUUUUUAAAUAAAUGAUAUGGAAAUGGAAAUUCAUAUAUUUAUUGCAUGAUAUAUCCAUAGCUGUUUGAAUCCCCCCCCCCUCGUUUCAUGUAUUUAUUCUUAAGUUUGCUUCUUAUGGAUGGCUAUACAGACAUCCGAGAGCAAAAUAUAGGCACAUAAUACCAGCUGUGAUGGGUGAACAAAUUGUAGGUGAACAGGAAAGGACUGGAAAUGGCUUGUGGGGGGAAAGCUGUAGCUUACUAUGCAAGUCUGUGUGCACCAUUCAUAACUGGAGCAAAAUAUGUGUGGGGUACUGUGUUGUAAAGUAAAGUGUGCCGUUGAGUUGGUGUCGACUCCUGGCAACCACAGAGCCCAUGUUUGUCUUUGGUAGCAUACAGGAGGGGUUUACCAUUGCCUCUCCCAUGCAGUAUGAGUUGAUGCCUUUCAGCAUCCUAUAUCGCUGUUACCCGAUAUAGUCUGGGAAACAUACCAGGGGGGAUUCAAACCAGCAACCUGUAGCUUGGUAGUCAAGCUAUUUUCCCACUGCGCCAUUAGGUGGCCAGAGGACAAACCUUUUAAGAAACCACCAUAUAUCCAGUGGUUUGGGGAGGCUAGUUGAAGAAGCAGGCAGCCCAACAUUUAGAAUAUUUCCCCAAGCAUUAGCAAGACUGGCUUAACACAUUUUGUUCAGCUCCAAUUUGCUUUGUUCAUUUCACCAAAAUUGGCCCCAUUAACUCUGGUAAUUAUUUUCUGACAGGGGAUUUCACUUGGGAUAUUCCCCUUCCAAAAGCUGAAAUUGGAAAUUUAGUUGAAAUCAUCGAGCCAGGACUGUUUAUAAACAUGACAGGCUCUCUAAGGGUCAUUUUGAAAAGACUUAAUUUUCUCCCUUGCUGAGUUUUUAAUAAUGAAUUUUCCAUGGAAGGCCUGAAGCUUAGCUAGUUCCCAUUUUCACUUAUUAUUGUUUUAACAUGAAAUGUUCAAGAACAUUUUAAAGAUACGGUUCCAUAAAUGUAAUUUUUAAAAAAUAAAAAAUAAUUGAAAUCCUUAA